rnacentral:rRNA from 1 species
UAGUAACGGCGAGUGAAGCGGCAACAGCUCAAAUUUGAAAUCUGGCGCAAGCCCGAGUUGUAAUUUGUAGAGGAUGCUUCUGGGUAGCGGCCGGUCUAAGUUCCUUGGAACAGGACGUCAUAGAGGGUGAGAAUCCCGUAUGUGACUGGCUUGCACCCUCCACGUAGCUCCUUCGACGAGUCGAGUUGUUUGGGAAUGCAGCUCUAAAUGGGAGGUAAAUUUCUUCUAAAGCUAAAUACCGGCCAGAGACCGAUAGCGCACAAGUAGAGUGAUCGAAAGAUGAAAAGCACUUUGGAAAGAGAGUUAAAAAGCACGUGAAAUUGUUGAAAGGGAAGCGCCCGCAACCAGACUUUGCGGCAGUGUUCGGCCGGUCUUCUGACCGGUUUACUCGCUGCCGUGAGGCCAUCAUCGUCUGGGACCGCUAGAUAAGACCUUAGGAAUGUGGCUCCCUUCGGGGAGUGUUAUAGCCUCUGGUGAUGUAGCGCGUCUCGGGCGAGGUCCGCGCUUCGGCAAGGAUGAUGGCGUAAUGGUUGUCGGCGGCCCGUCUUGAAACACGGACCAAGGAGUCUAACAUCUAUGCGAGUGUUCGGGUGUCAAACCCCUACGCGUAAUGAAAGUGAACGGAGGUGGGAACUUUUUGUGCACCAUCGACCGAUCCUGAUGUCCUCGGAUGGAUUUGAGUAAGAGCAUAGCUGUUGGGACCCGAAAGAUGGUGAACUAUGCCUGAAUAGGGUGAAGCCAGAGGAAACUCUGGUGGAGGCUCGCAGCGGUUCUGACGUGCAAAUCGAUCGUCAAAUUUGGGUAUA